rnacentral:rRNA from 1 species
AUUGAACGCUGGCGGCACGCCUAACACAUGCAAGUCGAGCGGCAGCGAGAUGUGUAGCAAUACACAUUGUCGGCGAGCGGCGGACGGGUGAGGAACACGUAGGAACCUGUCCUUUAGAGGGGGAUAACUAAGGGAAACUUUAGCUAAUACCGCAUACACUCGAAAGAGGAAAGCUGCCUGUUAAAGGGUGGCGCUAGAGGAGGGGCCUGCGUCCGAUUAGCUAGUUGGUAGGGUAAGAGCCUACCAAGGCGAUGAUCGGUAACUGGUCUGAGAGGACGACCAGUCACACUGGGACUGAGACACGGCCCAGACUCCUACGGGAGGCAGCAGUGGGGAAUAUUGGACAAUGGGGGCAACCCUGAUCCAGCGAUGCCGCGUGUGUGAAGAAGGCCUUAUGGUUGUAAAGCACUUUAAGCGAGGAGGAGGCUCUUUUGGUUAAUACCCAAGAUGAGUGGACGUUACUCGCAGAAUAAGCACCGGCUAACUCUGUGCCAGCAGCCGCUGUAA